rnacentral:rRNA from 1 species
CCUACGGGGGGCAGCAGUGGGGAAUAUUGGACAAUGGGGGAAACCCUGAUCCAGCAAUGCCGCGUGUGUGAAGAAGGCCUGCGGGUUGUAAAGCCCUUUCGGUUGGGAAGAAAAGUUUGGCGCCAAUACCGCCGAACCUUGACGUUACUGACAGAAGAAGCACCGGCUAACUCUGUGCCAGCAGCCGCGGUAAUACAGAGGGUGCAAGCGUUAAUCGGAAUCACUGGGCGGAUAGCGUACGUAGGGGGUCAAAGCCCCGGGCUUAACCUGGAACUGCAUUCGAUACUACAGGGCUAGAGUAUGGUAGAGGGAAGUGGAAUUUCAGGUGUAGCGGUGAAAUGCGUAGAUAUCGGAAGGAACACCAAUGGCGAAGGCAGCGUCCUGGACUAAUACUGACACUGAGGAACGAAAGCGUGGGGAGCAAACAGGAUUAGAUACCCGUGUAGUC